GCAUAUCAAUAAGCGGAGGAUAUAGAAACCAACAGGGAUUGCCUUAGUAACGGCGAGUGAAGCGGCAACAGCUCAAAUUUGAAAUCUGGCCCUCGGGUCCGAAUUGUAAUUUGUAGAGGAUGAUUUUGGUGCGGUAUCUUCCGAGUUCCUUGGAACAGGACGCCUUAGAGGGUGAGAGCCCCGUACGGUUGAAUGCCUAGCCUCUGUAAAUCUCCUUCGACGAGUCGAGUAGUUUGGGAAUGCUGCUCUAAAUGGGAGGUAAAUUUCUUCUAAAGCUAAAUAUUGGCCAGAGACCGAUAGCGCACAAGUAGAGUGAUCGAAAGAUGAAAAGCACUUUGAAAAGAGGGUUAAAUAGCACGUGAAAUUGUUGAAAGGGAAGGAUUUGUGACCAGACUUUUUCUGGGCGGAUCAUCCGGGGUUCUCUCCGGUGCACUUUGCCCAGUAAAGGCCAGCAUCGAUUUUCGGCGGCGGAUAAAAGCAGUGGGAAUGUGGCUCCCUACGGGGAGUGUUAUAGCCCAUUGUAUAAUACGCUGCUGGGGAUCGAGGUACGCGCUUCUGCAAGGAUGCUGGCGUAAUGGUUAUCAAUCACCCGUCUUGAAACACGGACCAAGGAGUCGAACAUUUAUGCGAGUGUUUGGGUGUUAAACCCUCACGCGUAAUGAAAGUGAACGGAGGUGAGAGCCCGUACGGGUGCAUCAUCGACCGAUCCUGAAGUUUUCGGAUGGAUUUGAGUAAGAGCAUAACUGUUCGGACCCGAAAGAUGGUGAACUAUGCGUGGAUAGGGUGAAGCCAGAGGAAACUCUGGUGGAGGCUCGCAGCGGUUCUGACGUGCAAAUCGAUCGUCAAAUCUGCGCAUGGGGGGCGAAAGACUAAUCGAMCCAUCUAGUAGCUGGUUACCGCCGAAG
rnacentral:rRNA from 1 species